UUGAAGGCGCUCCUUAAUCUCUUCAACU
rnacentral:piRNA from 1 species